CCGCCGGCGACCGGCGCACGGGUGAGUAACACGUAUGAAACCUGCCCGUAGCAGGGGGAUAAGCGGAAGAAAUUCCGUCUAAUACCGCGUAACAACCCGAGGAGGCAUCUCCUCGGGUUUAAAGGAAGCGAUUCCGGCUACGGAUGGUCAUGCGUCGCAUUAGCUAGUUGGCGGGGUAACGGCCCACCAAGGCGACGAUGCGUAGGGGUUCUGAGAGGAAGGUCCCCCACACUGGUACUGAGACACGGACCAGACUCCUACGGAAGGCAGCAG
rnacentral:rRNA from 1 species